AUAAGAAACCGCCCAUGUACGCAUCUGAUGUUGCACAAGCAAGCGAGAUGAAGGGAAUGGUGCUUCCAUUUGUACCGCUUUCACUCACCUUUGACAAUAUUAGAUACUCAGUUGAUAUGCCCGUGGAAAUGAAAAUACAUGGUAUUGAGGAGGAGAAAUUGGUGCUACUAAAGGGCGUGAGUGGUUCCUUUAGAUCAGGAGUUCUUACAGCAUUAAUGGGUGUUAGUGGAGCAGG